GAUGAAGAACGUAGCGAAAUGCGAUAAGUAGUGUGAAUUGCAGAAUUCAGUGAAUCAUCGAAUCUUUGAACGCGCAUUGCGCCCCUUGGUAUUCCAUGGGGCAUGCCUGUUCGAGCGUCAUUUGUACCUUCAAGCUUUGCUUGGUGUUGGGUGUUUGUCUCGCCUCUGCGUGUAGACUCGCCUUAAAACAAUUGGCAGCCGGCGUAUUGAUUUCGGAGCGCAGUACAUCUCGCGCUUUGCACUCAUAACGACGACGUCCAAAAGUACAUUUUUACACUCUUGACCUCGGAUCAGGUAGGGAUACCCGCUGAACUUAAGCAUAUCAAUAAGCGGAGG
rnacentral:misc_RNA from 1 species